GGCUCAGGACGACGCUGGCGGCGUGCCUAAUACAUGCAAGUCGAACGGUCUUUCUAUGGAAGCUUGCUUCCACUGAGAAGAUAGUGGCGGACGGGUGAGUAACACGUGGGUAACCUGCCCAUAAGAGGGGGAUAACAUCCGGAAACGGGUGCUAAUACCGCAUAGUUUUCUUGAUCGCAUGAUUGAGGAAGGAAAGACGGCCUUUGUGCUGUCGCUUAUGGAUGGACCCGCGGCGUAUUAGUUAGUUGGUGAGGUAACGGCUCACCAAGACGAUGAUACGUAGCCGACCUGAGAGGGUGAUCGGCCACAUUGGGACUGAGACACGGCCCAAACUCCUACGGGAGGCAGCAGUAGGGAAUCUUCCGCAAUGGACGAAAGUCUGACGGAGCAACGCCGCGUGAGUGAAAGAAGGUUUUCGGAUCGUAAAACUCUGUUGUCAGAGAAGAACAAGUCGGAGAGUAACUGCUCCGGCCUUGACGGUAUCUGACCAGAAAGCCACGGCUAACUACGUGCCAGCCGCCGC
rnacentral:rRNA from 1 species